UACGAAGGGGGCGAGCGUUGUUCGGAAUUACUGGGCGUAAAGGGCGCGUAGGCGGCGACUCAAGUUAGAUGUGAAAGUCCUGGGCUUAACCUGGGGACUGCAUUUGAUACUGGGUUGCUUGAAUUCGGGAGAGGAUAGCGGAAUUCCCAGUGUAGAGGUGAAAUUCGUAGAUAUCGGGAGGAACACCAGUGGCGAAGGCGGCGACCUGGGCCAAUACUGACGCUGAGGUGCGAAAGCGUGGGGAGCAAACAGG
rnacentral:rRNA from 1 species